GACGAACGCUGGCGGCGUGCUUAACACAUGCAAGUCGAACGGAAAGGCCCUGCUUUUGUGGGGUGCUCGAGUUGCGAACGGGUGAGUAACACGUGAGUAACCUGCCCUUGACUUUGGGAUAACUUCAGGAAACUGGGGCUAAUACCGGAUAAGAUCUCCUGCUGCUUGGUGGGGGUUGGAAAGUUUCGGCGGUUGGGGAUGGACUCGCGGCGUAUCAGCUUGUUGGUGGGGUAGUGGCUUACCAAGGCUUUGACGGGUAGCCGGCCUGAGAGGGUGACCGGCCACAUUGGGACUGAGAUACGGCCCAGACUCCUACGGGAGGCAGCAGUGGGGAAUAUUGCACAAUGGGCGGAAGCCUGAUGCAGCAACGCCGCGUGCGGGAUGACGGCCUUCGGGUUGUAAACCGCUUUCGCCUGUGACGAAGCGUGAGUGACGGUAAUGGGUAAAGAAGCACCGGCUAACUACGUG
rnacentral:rRNA from 1 species